CAACGUCGAUCUGGCGGGCUGCCCGAUGCCCGGGCAUGGCUAUGUCAUCACCCAGCCGGAUUUCGA
rnacentral:sRNA from 1 species